UGUUCGUGUGUAUAAUGAUAUAGGUGUUAGAACAUAAACAUGGUUUAUAAGGACAUCUGUGUCCUCAUAAGCCAAAAUAAAAGUAAUCCAAAAAAUGCAGCAUUUCACCUGGCUAAUGGCUGCUACUGAAAAACAAGGUUGGUUAUAAAGAAGUCGGCUAAAGAUUGGACUGAAGUGUUAAACCCUUAAUUACCUUUUUUUUUCAGGAUAUCCCACAACAGAUUGGGGGUGUUGACUGUGGAGACUUCAUGUUGAUGUAUGCUCUACAUCUUUUCAUGGGAGCACCCUUUGAUUUUACAUCUUGCGACUUUCCAAACAUUCGGAGGUGUAGUCUAAUUCUUCUAGAAAACUUUGGGGGUUUCU